UACAGAGGGGGGCAAGCGUUGUUCGGAAUUACUGGGCGUAAAGGGCGCGUAGGCGGCCUUCUAAGUCGAACGUGAAAUCCCCGGGCUCAACCCGGGAACUGCGUCCGAUACUGGAAGGCUUGAAUCCGGGAGAGGGAUGCGGAAUUCCAGGUGUAGCGGUGAAAUGCGUAGAUAUCUGGAGGAAUACCGGUGGCGAAGGCGGCAUCCUGGACCAUUACUGACGCUGAGGCGCGAAAGCUAGGGGAGCAAACAGGG
rnacentral:rRNA from 1 species